UGUAGGUGUAGAGCCCUUAUUUGAAUGAAAGGUAUGCAUUUGAUUAGGGAAGCAGAAGCAGAUGUAGCUGGAAAAGCAACGUAUGGGAAACUCCGAGCUAUAGCUAGGGAAGUCAGGAUUCGGUGGAAUAAAAUAAAAAGCAGUAGAGACACGCCACAGCGUCUGGAAUUACCAUUCUGCCACAAAAAACCAGAACCCUGGAACCCAAGUCAUAACAGUUUUGAGACACUGGACAUCGGGCCGCACAGGACUGUUAUCACUGAAGGGAAGGACACAGAUGAGGUCCCGAGCAACUGAUUCGUAUGUAAACUUGAAUCACCAUGUAUCCUGAAGAUGGGAAAGAUCAUCCCUGUGACACAGCUCUCAUCCAAGUUGACGUUUAACUCUCACAAGCUCCUUGCCAGCUCUGCCUACAUGAUAGGCUACCAUCUAAGUGGUAGGCACGUGCAAUCCCCUCGGUAAACGGAGAAAACAGAAAAGGAGUGUGAAAAGGCAGGGGUUAAGGCAUGCUUUGCAUAAACGGCUAUUUAUACAUCUUGUCUGAAAGCAAGAAAAGUGUUUAAUCAGUGCUCUCCAGUAACAGAGGGAGACUAGGCUCUGGGCGGAAAUCUGUGAGAUAGUCGGAGACCAUUUUCAACUAUGUCCUGCUUCUGGUUUCAAAGAUACCUCCUCUCUGGCUGGGGAGUGAACAGUAGCUUUCUGUCUUCCACCUCCCCCCUAGUCAGCUCAUGGUGACUAAAGAAGAAAAGGAUUUCAGCUGGAGAGGACUCCCCAAGAAACCCAACUGAUCCCUCUCAGUGUCCCUUCAACUGUGAAUCUGUAGCUAUCAUUGGAAAGCCAUCCCUUAAUCCCAAUGGAUUAAAGAAGUCAGUGGUUCACAAAAUGACUAUUUCUAGAUCACCCAUGAAAGUGGAAAAUUGGUUUAAAAAUUACAGAUGCCUGGGCAUACUGAAAUUCUACUUCAGUAGGUCUGAGAUAGGCAGACCUCAGGCACAGCGAGAUAAAUUUCAAAACCAUAGUCUUCAUGUCAGUGGAGGACCUUUCCAAUGGCGGCGCUUUGGCCAACAGCAAGGGUUGGUGAGAAUGUUCAGUGGCAAAGCCUUCUCAAAUCCUCCUACUAAAGCAGGUGGAACCGCCUCCCGCCCCCCAGCUUCAGUUGGAAGCCAUCAACAUAUAAUUUCAAAUCAGGAGACAAAAAGGAGACCUUGAGAUGUGGCUUUCGCGCAAUUCAGAGCACAUUCUCCUCUUCUCUGUGCAACAAAAUAAUUGCUUUUCUGGAUCCGACUACUUACACGUACCAUGUUUAAGUUUUUUGGGUCAAAUCCACUCAAAGCAAACAGGAAGUUGCUGCAGAGAUGACGGAAUAGCUUCCGGUUGCAUACCUUGGUGGCAAUGAAUUGGUCAAAAAAGGUAUGAGGGUAGAACAUCUUGUCACCAAAUAACGCCUGCAAGAUCAAUUUGAGAUGCCAUCAGAUUUCAUGGAUGUGGAUGUCAAAAGUGGAAAGUGAGUGGUCAUUCAGCCAAGGACCGGACAGAGGUGAUAUCUGCUCAGUGCUAGUCCUCAGUAAAAUGGAAAGGCCUGGUAAAUUUUGUUUUUGGUUCUCCCAACCCACCUUUGUGGUCUUCUCAACACAUCUCAUGAUUCCCUUUCCCAAGGUCCUCUACUUGGGGUGUUUUUCAGAAUGCCCUCUGAGAAAUUAGCCACUGUAGGAAAUUGAUAAGGCUUUGGAGUCACAGAUACCUUGGUUUGAUUCUGGACUCUGUCUUUGCACCUUAAGGAAGUAUUUAAUUUCUAUUAUCCUGAACUUUCUCGAUGAUAAAAUAAAAAAUUAACAUGCUAUGUUGUAAAGGACUGUUGUCAAGAUAAUAAGUCAUGUUUAAAAGGUACCUACUGAAUCUUCUAGAACCUAGUAAACAUUCCCCAAACAAUAGCUAUUAUUACAAGUAGUGAAUGAUAUAGACUUAAUGAGCCAUUCCUUCCAGAAUCUUUUAGUAAACACUUCCAGAGGCAAAACUUAACCCCCCUAAAAUGAAUCUUUACUAGUGAAAUUUCAGGCAAUGGUGCCAGUGAGUUGAACUUACUUUUUGAACUCUAGGAAUCCCUUCAAAUUAGAACAUACAUUCAUAUCAAACUCCUGUGCAUAUAAGACGAAUCUUACCUUUGCUUCACAAAAACUAGUUUUAUAAUCUUAGGAUAAUAAACUAGAUAUGAGGAUGAAAAAGUAUCUUUUAAUUCUUUUGGAAACAUCCAUUUACAGUAAAAAAAAAAACAAAACAAAAAACAACCAAAACAAAACAAACCUCGCUUAUCUUUUCCUUGGAAUCCUUUAUUGACUGGUGAUUACAACAAUCAAUUAGAUUAGAUUAGAACAAUAAUAACUAGCAUUUAUUUUUAUUGCAUUAGUGCACGAUAAGAUCUUAGGCUAUCUUUGGUAAACUCGAUCCGGUGAAUUCCUCCUGGGUAGAGUUGGUUGAAUUCUGAAUUUGAAAAGUGGUUAUUUUAUAUGAUCAAGGGUAAUCUUCAUUUAAUGGAAUAUUUGAUAUCCCAUGGAAUAUUAAUGAAUCUAUGACACACAGUGACUUUAUCUACCCCUUCCUAUGGGAGAGGGGGAGGGAGGAAGGGAAAAAAAAAAGAGGCUAUAAUUGUUAAGCUAGUUCAAAUCAUAUUUCUUUAGGUCGGGAAGGCAAUAAUUAACCAUGGCAGACAUUAUCUAAUUCAUUCUGGCCUCUUAUUCAUUUUGUCUCAAUCACUGGGACACUUGAACAAUAUAUUAGAUAAUUUAUUAAGCCACUUAUCAAAUUGUAACUCUUCCUGUGUAACUGUCUACAUGGUAAUUAGUAGUAGCCACAGACACAUAGAGAGAACUUUUUUUUGUUUUGUUUUUAAAGAAUGGCUUCUUUAAAAAAAAAAAAAGACUUUAUUUUUAAGUAAUAUCUACACCCGGGGCACCCGGGUGGGCUCGGUCGGUUAAGCAUCCGACUCUUGAUUUUGCUCAGUCGUGCUCUCACAUUUGUGAGUUCAAGCCCCGCAUUGGGCUCUGUGCUGACAACGACUCUCUCUCCCUCUCUAUCUGCCCCUUCCCUGCUUGCUCUCUAUUUCUCAAUCAAAAUAAAGAAAAAUAAACUUAAAACAAAGUAAUGUGUACACAUGGGGCUCAAACUUAAAUCCUGAGAUCAAGAGUCACGCGUUCUACCGACUGAGCCAGCCAGGUGCCCCUGAACUUACCUCUGAAAAGAACAUUUUCAUCUAUUCUGUUCUCAAGUGCAAUAAUCUAAAUGGAGUGGCUGGCACAUGAAUAAGUAGUGAAGGUAGGAAGCAGGGUCUGGUUUUCACCAGUGAACAUUUUUCUUUUUCUUUUUAACAUUAAAAAAAAAUUUUAUAGUGUAUUUGUUUAUCUGGAGAGAGACAGCAACAGUGCGACCAGUGCAGAGCCCAGUGGGGAGCUCAAACUCACAAAACCCGAUCGCGACCCGAGCUGAAAUUAAGAGUCCACUGCUUACCCGACUGAGCCACCCAGGCCUCCCCUAACAUUUUUCGUUUUCAACGACCAAUAUCUUCAUCAUCCACCCUUGGCAGAAACUCCGUAUGAAAAGGAAGUACCAGUUCAGAGAAGUGAGCAACCGUGGAAGCAUGAUCUGAAGAAAGAGGUUAGGGGCACCUGGGUGACUCAGUCGGCUAAGCGUCUGACUCUUGAUUUCACCUCAAGUCAUGAUGUCCCGGUUUGUGAGAUGGAGACCCAAGUCGGGCUGUGCGCAGACAGCGUGGAGCCUGCUUGGGAUUCUCUCUCUCUCUGACCCUCCCCCAUUCACAUGCACUCUCUCUCUCUCUCCCUCUCUGUGUCUCAAAAUUAAAUAAACAUUCAAAAAGAAGAAGAAAGAGGUUCCAUCUGCCAUAAAAGACCCUUGUUCUUUAUUCUGACAGCUGGUAUUUCCAAAUACUGGGUGAAUUAGCAUGGCAGUCGCUGACUUUACCUCUACACCCAUGCAGGAGUGACUCAGCAAAACGGUCAUAUAUUUACCCAGGGACAAAUAACUGCUCCUUCCCCCUAACCUAAAAAGAGAGGAGAGUAACGCAGGCCAGCCAGCCACAUAGCGCCCAUUUGUAUAGCGUGGUAAACGUGGCUUGUAGAAUGUAAUUCCAAGUUCAUUCUGGAGGGGGCGUGUGUGUCCCAUAACAGCACAAGAUUCUUCAAUUUGCUCUUUCGGUAACUGGGUGAAUUUAAAAAGGCACCAUUUCUUUUGGGUACAUGGCUCCAUGCCAGGUCACAUGACUUGCCAAGCUGACCAUGGGCUGGAUGCAGCUGUCCGUGGCUUGCUGAGCGGGGCACCCUAAGGACCCCGGACUGACUUCUUCAGGCUGGCAUUGAAAAGGUGGGGGAAAUAACUACACAGAAGAAAGAGCACCCACCAUCGAUGACCUGGUCAGAUCUGGGUUCAAUUUCUGGUUCUGUGACCCACUAGCUGGGUCAUUCGGGACAGGCUGCGUAGCCUCUUUGAGCCUCACAGUUUUCUUUUAAGAAACGAAGACAAUACUAACAAUGCUCACUGUUUAAACAACAUGUAAGGAGCAAAGGGUCAAAGCAAGCAAGAUACAAGAACACGUAAAUACCCAGGGACCAGACAAGGGGCGGGAGCGAAGGAGGGGAUAAACAACUGGCAAACAGGAAAUCUGAAACGCCAAGUGCUGUGGCUUUGAAUCCAAAAUAAACUCAAUGAAUACUACUAGAUAAUAUCUAGUGAAUACCUGCUGUAGGCCUGGUACUAUGCUUAAACAUGUAUCAUCUCAGUGAAUUUCCCAAACAACUUGACAAAUUUUUACCCAUUUUUUUACUCAUUCAUCCAUGCAUGCGUGCAUUCAUUCAUUCACUUUCAACUUUAUUGAGGAAUAAUUGAUGCCAUAAGACACUAAAUAUCUUAUAAAUGAAAGUUUGUACACUUUGACCUACAUUUCCCCAUUUCUCCUUCCUCCAGCCCCUCGUAGCCACCGUUCUAUUCCCCUUUUCUAGGAAAUUGGCUUUUUAAUAUCAGAUUUUACAUAUAAGUGAUUCAGUACAGUAUUUGUUUUUCUCUGUCUGGCUUAUUUCAUUUGGUGUUAUGCCCCCCAGUUUCACCCAUGUUGCAAAUGGCUGUAUUUCCUUACUUUCUUUUGGCUCUUUAAUACUCUUUAAAAUUUUCCCAUUUUCAUUUGUUGACAAAUCUCUACACUGUUUUCCCUAAGGGUUAUACUAAUUUACAUUUCCACCAGCAGUGUAUAAGGGCUCCCUUUUCUCAACAUCCUUGCCAACAUUUGUUAUUUCUUGUCUUUUUGACAAUAGCCAUUCUAGAGGUGACUGGGUGGCUCAGUUGGUUAAGUGCCUUACUCGAUUUCAGCUCAGGUCAUUAGCUCAGGCUUCAUGAGUUCAAGACCCGCAUCUGGCUCUUGGUUGGUAGCUUGGAGCCUGCUUGGAAUUCUGUUUCCUUGUCUCUCUGCCCCUCCCUCGCUCAUGAUCUCUCUCUCUCUCUCUCUCUCUCUCAAAAAUAAAUAAACAUUAAAAAAGAUAAUAGCCAUUCUAACAGGUAGGAGGUAAUACUCCAUUGUGGUUUUGAUUUGCAUUCCCUGAUGGUGAGUGAUGUUGAACAUCUUUCCAUGCACCUAUUGGCCAUUUGCAUGCCUUCUUUGGGAAAAUGCCCUUUUAAAAAUUGGAUUACUUGCUCUUCUGCUAUUGAAUUGUAUGAGCUUUUUAUAUAUUUUGGUUAUUAAUCCCUUAUCAGAUACAUGGUUUGCAAAUAUUUUCUCCUAUUCUGUAGGUGGCAUUUUCAACAUAUUGAAAUGUUCCCUUUGCUGUGCAGAAGCUUUUUAGUUAGUCCCAUUUGUUUAUUUUUGCCUUUAUUGCCUGUUCUUUUGCUGUCUUAUCCAGAAAAUCAUUGGCCAAGACCAAGGUCAAGGAGCGUUUUCCCUAUGUUGUCUUCUAGGAGCUUUAUGAUUUCAAGUCUUAAAUGUAAGUUUUUAAUCCAUUUCAAGUUAAUUUUUGUGAGUGGUAUAACGUAAGGGUUCAGCCUCAUUCUUUUGCACGUGGCUAUCCAGUUAUCCAAACACCAUGUACUGAAGAGACCAUCUUUCCCCCACUGUGUCCAUAGCACCCUUGUCAAAAUUUAGUUGACAAUAGGAGUGGGUUUCCUUCUGGAUCCCUAACACACUGCUUUAUGUACCUGUUUUUAUGCUAGUACAAUACUGUUUUUAUUACUAUAGCUUUGCAAUAUAGUUUGAACUCAGGAAGUGUGAUGCCUUCACUUUAGUUCUACUUUCAUAAGAUUGGUUGGGCUAUUUGGGGUCUUUGUAUUUCCACACAAAUUUUAGGAUAGGGUUUUUUUUUUUUCUAUUUCUGUGAAAAAUACCAUUGGAAUUUUGAUAGGGACUGCACCGAAUCUACAAUUCACUUUGGGCUGUAUGGACACAUUAAUGGUAUUAAUCCUUCCAAUUUGUGAACAUAGGUUAUCUUUUCAUUUAUCUGUGUCUUUCUGGGUUGUAUCAAUAUAGAAUUGAAUUACCAUGGGCUAAUUUAAUUAUUUCUCACAAACCCAAAUCUCUGGCUUCCGUAAAGAUUAUCUGACUUUUAUCCGCUUUCACUGAAAUCACUGAACACAAGGAUCGCUCUUAGCCCUGGGAGAAGCCCAUAUCAAUAUGGAAGAGAAAAACACACUAAGCCACAUGGACCAAUUCACUUCAGCUGAAUAACUGAUCAGAUUAGUUAGCCGUCAGCCAGCACAGAGAAUCUGGACUUCAGGAUAUUGUCCAGAUUUUGAGGACUUGACAGACUGAGAAUCACUAAAAGCUGGACUUUCAGUGAUGGGGGGAAGGUAUGGUCUGUGCAAAUCAUGACAGCAACAAGUAGCUGAUAUUUAUUAAAAGCUUAGAACGUGCAAGUCCUGGUUCUAAGGGAUUCACAUGUCUGACCUCAAUCCUUAAAGCAGCCCUAUGCGUGGGAACUAUUAUGAUCCCCCCUUUACAGAUGAAGAAAAUGAUUCCCCAAACAUUUCAGGUCUCGGCCAAACUUACCCAGCUAGCUAGGAUCCAACCCCAUGCCAUCUGGCUCCGUGUGGUGAUUUUAACUACUACUCCAUACUUCUCCUGAAAAACCAAGGGCUGCCAGAGAGAAAUUUAACCUACUAGAUUAAACAAAUCGAUUAAUCGAAUCAACAUUUGCUUUAUCUGUGAUUGAGGAAUGACAUGGACAGAAGCCUGUAGAUGUGGAUUUAGACAAUAGCGUAGAAUGGCAUCGGAGUGAGCUCUCUGAACCCUGUUGGUAAAAUUACACCACGGUACGUCUCUAUCGAUAGCUUAUAUCUGUUAUUGUCUCAGAAGUUUAUAAAAUGCCAUUUUGUCUAAGGUUCUCUUCCCUUGAAAUCAGCGAAAACGGAGCUCGUUUUAGUUACUACAGAUUUAAACCCGGAGGAGCCACAUACCUUGACUACUUUUCUGGAAAGAGUUGUUAAUUUUUUCAUAGGACUUUGGGUGUAUUUCACCGUGAUGACUGGAGCCAAUGCGAAAAAUAUCUUAAUCCUUUUAGCCAGCUCUGGAUUUGUAGAGAAUGCUAUGAAAGCUGGAAGGGAAGAAGACACUAGUUUGUAGGUUUCGAACAAGUUUUCAUUCAUCGUACAUGAUAGCAAAAGUAGUCCUAUUAAAAAGAACAACAACAGGAACUGAAAAAAACAACAACAACCUAGAGUAAGUACCAUCUGUAGGAAGAAUUCUCUAAACUUCUCAAGGAUGGAAUUGACUAAUUCAAAAUACAGUGACUUUCCUGUCCCUGGAGAAUUUAAGUCUACUGGUAGAGAGUGUUGCAGAAAGGGUUCAAACACCCACUGUGGGGCAUACCUAGGUAAACCCUGAGGGCCAUUCUCCUUUGGCCACGCUCCUUAACACUAGACGACAUUGGGCUAUGAUUGUGGCUUCCCAUUCAGUAGCUGGGUGGAGAUUUGAGCACGUUACCUCCCCACGCAAGUCUCCGCUUUCCCAAUCUGCAAAUGUGGAAAACAGGAUCCUUCGCGGAUGAAUCUUUUGAAGGUUAAAUUACGUAUGCAUAAAACUGUUAAAUUACGUAUGCAUAAAAAUUAUGUAUGCAAAAAACGUAUGCAUAUUAUUUGGCAUUCUCACCAUUAAAAAAGGAUUUCCAAAUUCAACCAUUUGUAACACACGGAUGAUAGCGAUCUCAAAUGUUUGUAAGUUGCAUGAGAGGUGUGAGGAAGAUGCAUCGCCUAGCACAGGCGUGGAAAGACCUACUUUACGCCAGAAACCUGACUGGGAUCCAGAUACAGAAAAGAGCCUGGUGGAAUGGUGUUGGUAUUGUUGAGGCGUCUAGCUAAUGGGGAUCAGGGAAGGGAGCGAGGUGCCUCGUGGCAUUGCCCACACGGCCUCAGUGCCUCUCGGAACUGCAAAAAACACUGAUGGUGACAUUUCAUCCCCACGAUCUGUAAUUCUCUGCUUUCUUUUUGGUGUCCUCAUUAGACUGCAAGCUCUUUAAGGGAAAGAUGCAUAUGAUUUUUGUCUCUGUCUCCGCAGCAUCUAAACCGGUGUGACAAAUGUGUGUGGUAUACACAAAUGAAUAAUUCUCUCUCCCUCGGGAUUAGCUAUCAAUCUCCAACAAUCUCCAAAUUCAACGG